rnacentral:rRNA from 1 species
UGGUGGGUUGCCUUGUCAGGUUGAUUCCGGUAACGAACGAGACCUCAGCCUGCUAAAUAGUCACGCUUGCCUCUUGGCAAGCGGCCAGACUUCUUAGAGGGACUAUUGGCGUUUAGCCAAUGGAAGUAUGAGGCAAUAACA